GGGUGCAGCGUCGUUUGCUGCAGGAUGAGGAUGGUCGGGCCGCCAUCC
rnacentral:ncRNA from 12 species